rnacentral:rRNA from 1 species
UUCCUACGGGAGGCAGCAGUGGGGAAUUUUCCACAAUGGGCGAAAGCCUGAUGGAGCAACGCCGCGUGUGUGAUGAAGGUCUUCGGAUCGUAAAGCACUUUCGACCGGGACGAAAAACCUCUGGCUAACAUCCAGGGGCCUGACGGUACCGGGAGAAGAAGCACCGGCUAACUCUGUGCCAGCAGCCGCGGUAAUACAGAGGGUGCAAGCGUUGUUCGGAAUUAUUGGGCGUAAAGCGCGUGUAGGCGGCUUGGCAAGUCAGAUGUGAAAGCCCAUGGCUUAACCAUGGAAGUGCGUCUGAAACUGCUGAGCUUGAGUACCGGAGAGGAUGGCGGAAUUCCGCAAGUAGAGGUGAAAUUCGUAGAUAUGCGGAGGAACACCGGUGGCGAAGGCGGCCAUCUGGACGGUAACUGACGCUGAGACGCGAAAGCGUGGGGAGCAAACAGGAUUAGAUACCCCAGUAGUCA